rnacentral:rRNA from 1 species
UUAAAUUGAAGAGUUUGAUCAUGGCUCAGAUUGAACGCUGGCGGCAGGCCUAACACAUGCAAGUCGAACGGUAACAGGAAGCAGCUUGCUGUUUCGCUGACGAGUGGCGGACGGGUGAGUAAUGUCUGGGAAACUGCCUGAUGGAGGGGGAUAACUACUGGAAACGGUAGCUAAUACCGCAUAACGUCGCAAGACCAAAGAGGGGGACCUUCGGGCCUCUUGCCAUCGGAUGUGCCCAGAUGGGAUUAGCUAGUAGGUGGGGUAACGGCUCACCUAGGCGACGAUCCCUAGCUGGUCUGAGAGGAUG